CGCGGCCGGCGACGGCCGCCGGGCGAUGCGGUGUUUGGGAGGGUCCGAUCGACCCGGGCGCGUGCGACGAGUCCAAGUCCUUCUUGAACGGGGCCGAACGCCCAGAGAGGGUGCCAGGCCCGUGGUGACCGUCGCCGAGUCCGGGUGGACUCCUCCCUAGAGUCGGGUUGCUUGAGAGUGCAGCCCCAAGCGGGUGGUAAACUCCAUCUAAGGCUAAAUAUGACCACGAGACCGAUAGCGAACAAGUACCGUGAGGGAAAGUUGAAAAGAACUUUGAAGAGAGAGUUCAAGAGUACGUGAAACCGUUCAGGGGUAAACCUGAGGAGCCCGAAAGGUCGAGGCGGCAGAUUCAACCGUCUCGCCGGUCGUGGCGACCCGUCGGCGUACACAGGGACGGUCGCGCGCGCGGCCACGGUUCGCCGUGGCCGUGUCCGCGCGGCCGCCCCGUCGACGGGCCCUGCCCGCGACCGGAGGCGUGCACUUCUGCCGCUGUAGGACGUCGCGACCCGUCGGGUGCCGGCCUGGGGCCCGCACGGGCAGACCGGGGCGGGACGCGAGCGAUCGCGUCAUCACCGUCCCGGACCGGCGGUGUGUGCGGGCGGUGCGCGGCGCGUCUUUCGGGGCGCGUCGCGUGCACCCGCGACCCGGCCGGCCGCCCGACGGCAGACGAGAGGCAGGCGAGCGCGUUCGAACGCGUCCAGGGCGCGCGGCAAGUGGGCGCGCGGCGAACGCGCGCGUCCUCCGGGGCGCGCGCGGCGGAGACCGGACCUGGUGCCGGUCCCGCGCCCGCGCCGCUGUUGGCCGCGCGACACACCUCGGACAGCGGGCCGCCUGCGUCGGCGACGCUUCAGCUUUGGGCACUCUCAGGACCCGUCUUGAAACACGGACCAAGGAGUCUAGCAUGUGCGCGAGUCAUUGGGUCCAGAACGAAACCCACAGGCGAAAUGAAAGUGAAGAGCGGUCGCGCGCGUCGUCCCACGAGGGCGCGCGUCGCGCGGCCGCCGAGGGAGGACGGGCCGGCGCGCGCGUCGUCGUCCGGGAAACCGGUCGGCGGCGCCGCGUCAGCCGGCCCCGCACUCCCGGGGCGUCCCAAGUCUCGAUUCGAGACGGGGCGCACCAGGAGCGCACACGCUGGGACCCGAAAGAUGGUGAACUAUGCCUGGUCAGGACGAAGUCAGGGGAAACCCUGAUGGAGGUCCGUAGCGAUUCUGACGUGCAAAUCGAUCGUCGGAACUGGGUAUAGGGGCGAAAGACUAAUCGAACCAUCUAGUAGCUGGUUCCCUCCGAAGUUUCCCUCAGGAUAGCUGGCGCCCGGCACAAAAUACCGUAGCGUACGAGUCUCAUCCGGUAAAGCGAAUGAUUAGAGGCAUUGGGGUCGAAACGGCCUCAACCUAUUCUCAAACUUUAAAUGGGUGAGAACCGCGGCCUGCUCGAGCAGUGAGGCCGCGGCCAUAUGAAACGGACAGGAUCGACGGGCGCCAAGUGGGCCACUUUUGGUAAGCAGAACUGGCGCUGCGGGAUGAACCGAACGCAGAGUUAAAGCGCCAAAAUCGACGCUCAUGGGACACCAUGAAAGGCGUUGGUAACUUAUGACAGCAGGACGGUGGCCAUGGAAGUCGGAAUCCGCCAAGGAGUGUGUAACAACUCACCUGCCGAAGUUACUAGCCCUGAAAAUGGAUGGCGCUGAAGCGUCGUGCUUAUACUCUGCCGUCGGGGCAAAGGAGGUGUCCGGUCGGCGUGCGCGCCGCGCCGGUCGCCGUCAGGUCCCGACGAGUAGGAGGGUCGCGGCGGUGAGCGCAGAAGGACAGGGCGUGGGCCCGUCUGGAGCCGCCGUCGGUGCAGAUCUUGGUGGUAGUAGCAAAUACUCCAGCGAGGCCCUGGAGGACUGACGUGGAGAAGGGUUUCGUGUGAACAGCCGUUGCACACGAGUCAGUCGAUCCUAAGCCCUAGGAGAAAUCCGAUGUCGAUGGUGACGUGUCUGAAUGGCGCGCAUUCACACGGCGCCGCCGCUCGGCAGGACAGCACACGCGAGCGAGACGCGUCGGCGGAAACGAAACGCACGCACGCACACUCCUUGGACGCGCGCGGACCCCGUCGUCCGUGCGGCAGUGAGAGUCAGCCAGCCAGCCAGCCAGCCAGUCACACCGGCCACGCAGAGUUCGAGCGAGCGCCCCACUUGAGUGUGUCGGGCCACCGUCUCCUGUGCUGCGAGGCGUGGCAGCACAGGAGACGACAAGGGUCGGGCAGGGCAGCCAGCCGGCCUCCGCGCACGAGACUUCGCCGUCGCCGUCAAGACCCGGUGUGUGUGUCGUCGCGUCCGCCGCGCGACCGCACGCCACGGCCGCCAGAGUGAUACGCGAUUGAAUGACGCACGUCCGACGGGCGAAAGGGAAUCCGGUUC
rnacentral:rRNA from 1 species